rnacentral:lncRNA from 1 species
CCCUUGUAGCCCAAGCAGCUCUCGUCUGUGUGUAUAUGAGAAAAUUGGCUGCCCCCCUCUUUCUCUUCUCUGUAUGCGUGGAUAUAUAUAUAUACAUAAAACCUAGCAGCAACCCACUUUUCUUUUCCUUUUUCCCGCCCCCGACCAGCCUUUCUUCUUGUGGAUAUAUGAUUACCACUAGUUGCUGGCCCAACUUUUCAACAGCCAGCUGCCCUAUUUGAAUAGUCCAACAAAGGUCCAAUUGGUUUUGACUUUUAUUCCAAAUACAAGUCCUCGAUUCUUUAAAUAUAAUACAAUUCAAUCCUUGCAUACUUAACUCGUUGCAACCCAUGUACUCUUCGAUUCAAUUCGAGUCCUUCAGUUUCUAAAGUAUGAAAUUUGACUUUGCAUCUACUAGCCAAUUUAGUCCCCGCACUUUAAAUUUUUCCAUUUUUCGCCCGUUUUUGCUUCUUUCCUUCAAUUUCGUUUUGUUCAUAAAAUUUACCUAUCAAACGUAAAAUACAAGAAUUUAGGAUAUAAUUUGUCGAAAGAACCCUUAAAUAUCAUUAUUUUAAGUAUGAAAUAAGUGUAUAAAAUACACUUAUCAAAUACCCCCAAACUUAAACAUUUGUUUGUCCUCAAACAAAACUAUAAUCCAAUAAUAACCAAUACACAAGCAUGCAAAAAUAUUUGGUUGGACAGUUUAGCUUUUAGAUAUAGAAAUUGAGAACAAAGUAUUAAAUCUACAAACCGCUUCAAAGUCACAAUACUUAAUCAAUAUCCACUCUUCCAAUGCAAAAUCGACGUGAGUGUGUGAAGAAUUAAGUAAUCAACCAUGACUACACAAGUUGUUUCUACCCAACCCUCUAUGGUCAAAUAUAUCCUUACAUUUCUCGUUUGAUUCACACGCCCCCAAACUUAUUAUUAUUAUUUUUUUUCACUCUUUUCCCGGUGUGUAACUUAAGGUUGAAUAUUUCAUUACUAUCCUCACCCUCUCGAGUUUGGGUAGACGUUACAUGUUACAAGUCAAUACUUCAAUGAACAUGGAUUCUCCAAUUAUUUGAUUGCUUCGACCUCCAAGACUCAAUUAGGCUAAUUAUCUUUUAUCGAAAGUCAACUUCCCUCAAAUAGGUGUUGGGACUUAACCAAGGUAUUUAGUGUUUUUGCUCUUUUCAUGCACUUGCUUUUUUUUCUUUUUCAUAAUUAAUUUUUUUAUUUUCUCUCCAUUAAGCUUUCUAGAUGACCCAUGUAGCAGGCUUUAGGCCGAUGACUCCCAAAUCAGAUGAUUUUAGGGCACCAGGUUUUAAACACCCUUACAGACUUACUGACCCGAGUCAAAAAGGCUUCGAAGAGAACAAUUUUUUUUUUUUUUAAGUGCAACUUCAUCUCUGAUUGCUUUCUAAAUGACCCUUUUAGCAAGCUUUAGGCCGAUGACUCCCAAAUCAAAUGACUUUAGGGCACCAGGUUUUAAGAUACCCUUGCAGGCUUAAUUACUCGAGUCAUAAAGGCUUUAGAGAGAAGUUUUAACAUUUUUAAAUGUAUACCUUGAUUAGUGCAAUGUCCCUUAUCAUACACUUAUUCAAGAAAACUGACCUCCAACUCAAAACUUUCACCCAAUUUUAUCCCGUUAGUCUAAGACAAUCCACACAUAAAUUUUCACACAUGGAAUCCAUAUUCACAUCAGCAUCUUCAUACAACUGUAAAGUCACCCCCAAACUAUACUAAAUUUGGUCUGAGGAUAAAUAAUUCAAUAUGGUUUAGGUAAAGCAUCUAAGUCCAUCUAAAUCAACCUAUCAAACAUGAAACAACUUAUUUCAUCACAAUGUCAAACUCAAUUCUAGUGCGCUUGUAAUAUCAAAUUUUGCAAGGUUGAGCUUCAAUUAAUCUAGCAUACAUCUCAUCCACAAUUCAUAAAUCAAUAUCAAAUCUCCAAUUAAAUUAGCAUAGUCAACCAAACUAUCUAACCCACACAAGCACACAACUAAAUAAUUUUUUUUUU